AACGCACCUUGCGCUCCUUGGUAUUCCGAGGAGCAUGCCUGUUUGAGUGUCUUGAAGUCAUCAACCGCUCCCGUUUUUUUUUGAAAACGGGGGGACGGGUUGGAUCUGGGGGUUUGCCGCUGCGAAGCGGCUCCCUUCAAAUGCAUCGGUUGGACCCGUGGGUCGAACUCGACCGGGCGUUGUAACAUCCUCGCUCUACCGAGAAGUUCCCCUUUGGCGUCCUCCCACGACCGCCUGUGGAGUGGCGGUCAACUUGCUUUGAAAUCUGACCUCAAAUCAGGUAGGACUACCCGCUGAACUUAA
rnacentral:misc_RNA from 1 species